rnacentral:rRNA from 1 species
GACAGAGGUGCCAAGCGUUAGGCGGAAUCACUGGGCUUAAAGCGUGUGUAGGCGGAAUGGUAAGUACCUUGUGAAAUCCCACGGCUCACCCGUGGAACUGCUCGGUAUACUGGGUGUCUUGAGCCACUUAGGGGCUACCGGAACAAAUGGUGGAGCGGUGAAAUGCGUAGAUAUCAUUUGGAACGCCAAUGGUGAAAACAGGUAGCUGGGAGUGUGCUGACGCUGAGACACGAAAGCCAGGGGAGCAAACGGG